rnacentral:rRNA from 1 species
GAUGAACGCUGGCGGCGUGCCUAAUACAUGCAAGUCGAGCGAACGGACGAGAAGCUUGCUUUUCUGAUGUUAGCGGCGGACGGGUGAGUAACACGUGGAUAACCUACCUAUAAGACUGGGAUAAAUUCGGGAAACCGGAGCUAAUACCGGAUAAUAUUUUGAACCGCAUGGUUCAAAAGUGAAAGACGGUCUUGCUGUCACUUAUAGAUGGAUCCGCGCUGCAUUAGCUAGUUGGUAAGGUAACGGCUUACCAAGGCAACGAUGCAUAGCCGACCUGAGAGGAUGAUCGGCCACACUGGAACUGAGACACGGUCCAGACUCCUACGGGAGGCAGCAGUAGGGAAUCUUCCGCAAUGGGCGAAAGCCUGACGGAGCAACGCCGCGUGAGUGAUGAAGGUCUUCGGAUCGUAAAACUCUGUUAUUAGGGAAGAACAUAUGUGUAAGUAACUGUGCACAUCUUGACGGUACCUAAUCAGAAAGCCACGGCUAACUACGUG